GCCCCUUUGGCCCAGCGGUAAGGCGUGUCUUUCCUAAGGACGAGAUCGCGGGUUCAAUCCCCGCAGGGGGUU
rfam:Protomyces lactucaedebilis strain 12-1054 BCR37scaffold_18, whole genome shotgun sequence.